rnacentral:rRNA from 1 species
AUGUACAUACCUACAACAUAGAAUUAAUUUACCAGAUCCCAUAAGAACUCUGCAGUUAAUCACACUCAGGAUAGAGUAGUACUGGGAUGGGUGACUGCCCGGGAAGUCCUAGCAUUUUACAUG